UUAUUUCUAAUAUCAGAGAUCAGACCUCUACUCUUGCCUGAUGCGUCUAAAACAAAAAGGGGGAACUGUAGAGAGCUGCGGAAUGCUAUGCCUUAAAGAUGGAGCUGGUUUCUGCCUUCCACCUUCCCGAUGGUGCAGACCUGGAGAGGGUGUGGAGCACCUGAAGAUAGUUGUGAACCGCAACUAACCGCGUCCUCUGCAGGAGCAGAGAGAGCUCUGAAGAGCUGAGCCAUUCCUCCUAUCCCCAUGGAAGCCUUUAUAUUUUGCAGUAUUUGAAGAAUUUUCUGCAACAAGCAAAUGUGUUUGAAAAAAAAGUAAUUCUUGAGAAACCAGAUGAUUAACACAAAUAAAGUCAUAUCCUAGCCAAA